rnacentral:rRNA from 1 species
AUGGCUCAGGACGAACGCUGGCGGCGUGCUUAACACAUGCAAGUCGAACGGAAAGGCCCCAGCUUGCUGGGGUACUCGAGUGGCGAACGGGUGAGUAACACGUGGGUGAUCUGCCCUGCACUUCGGGAUAAGCCUGGGAAACUGGGUCUAAUACCGGAUAGGACCCUCCUUUAGUGUGGGGGGUGGAAAGAUUUUUCGGUGUGGGAUGAGCCCGCGGCCUAUCAGCUUGUUGGUGGGGUAAUGGCCUACCAAGGCGUCGACGGGUAGCCGGCCUGAGAGGGUGGACGGCCACAUUGGGACUGAGAUACGGCCCAGACUCCUACGGGAGGCAGCAGUGGGGAAUAUUGCACAAUGGGCGGAAGCCUGAUGCAGCGACGCCGCGUGGGGGAUGACGGCCUUCGGGUUGUAAACCUCUUUCGACAGGGACGAAGCCUUUUGGUGACGGUACCUGUAUAAGAAGCACCGGCUAACUACGUGCCAGCAGCCGCGGUAAUACGUAGGGUGCGAGCGUUGUCCGGAAUUACUGGGCGUAAAGAGCUCGUAGGUGGUUUGUCGCGUCGUCUGUGAAAUUCCGGGGCUUAACCUCGGGCGUGCAGGCGAUACGGGCAAUACUUGAGUGCUGUAGGGGAGACUGGAAUUCCUGGUGUAGCGGUGAAAUGCGCAGAUAUCAGGAGGAACACCGAUGGCGAAGGCAGGUCUCUGGGCAGUAACUGACGCUGAGGAGCGAAAGCAUGCGGUAGCGAACAGGAUUAGAUACCCUGGUAGUCCAUGCCGUAAACGGUGGGCGCUAGGUGUAGGGGUCUUCCACGACUUCUGUGCCGUAGCUAACGCAUUAAGCGCCCCGCCUGGGGAGURCGGYCGCRRGGCUAAAACUCAWAGGAAUUGACGGGGGCCCGCACAAGCGGCGGAGCAUGUGGAUUAAUUCGAUGCAACGCGAAGAACCUUACCUGGGCUUGACAUACACCGGACCGGGCCAGAGAUGGUCCUUCCCUUGUGGCUGGUGUACAGGUGGUGCAUGGUUGUCGUCAGCUCGUGUCGUGAGAUGUUGGGUUAAGUCCCGCAACGAGCGCAACCCUUGUCUUAUGUUGCCAGCACGUGAUGGUGGGGACUCAUGAGAGACUGCCGGGGUCAACUCGGAGGAAGGUGGGGAUGACGUCAAAUCAUCAUGCCCCUUAUGUCCAGGGCUUCACACAUGCUACAAUGGUCGGUACAACGCGUCGCCACACCGUGAGGUGGAGCUAAUCGCUGAAAGCCGGCCUCAGUUCGGAUUGGGGUCUGCAACUCGACCCCAUGAAGUCGGAGUCGCUAGUAAUCGCAGAUCAGCAACGCUGCGGUGAAUACGUUCCCGGGCCUUGUACACACCGCCCGUCACGUCAUGAAAGUUGGUAACACCCGAAGCCAGUGGCCCAACCCUUGUGGAGGGAGCUGUCGAAGGUGGGAUCGGCGAUUGGGACGAAGUCUAAACAAGGU